GUUGUUAUGUCUUGCCAGAGCACUGCAAUAUAUUCUGACUUAUGGAGAAAAAAACAGCACAACACCAAAAACAGAUACUGAGCAGGAGGAGAGCGACAGUGAUGGAGAGGAACAGAUGAAAAACGGAGAGCGGGAGGAAUUUCAUUUACUCGUCUCUAACGUCGAUCCUGAAAAAUGGGUCACUGAAUGACUCAGGGAGGAUUCAGACAUGUGGUGCCAGAUGGAUGGAUUUGUCACUGGUCGCCUGGACUCCAUCAUAUCCGCGAAACCAUGGCAGACUUUCGGAUUACGAGACAGAUUUAAGGUUAAUCAUCAUCAGAUGUACAGGAGCUGUGACUAAGUUUGCACCUAUAGACGAAAAUACACA